rnacentral:lncRNA from 1 species
UCAGGGUUAACAAGGCAAAAUAUAUUUUUGAACAUCACACUAGAUAUGAACAGGGCAAUCAGGAAGAAGGCACACAGGGUAUCAAACAGUGAUGAAGAAAAACUUCUGCCCGCAGCAACCGCCAAACAAUGCAUUAUAUACUUGAACAUUUAACAAUGGCAGCAACAUCAACAGCACGAUGAGGAAAAAAACAUGCUUCUAGAUGACUUUCACUCCCUCUUUAUUGAACAUGGAAAUGAGGGUGCCAGCUGCCAUGGGAGAAUGCAGACCUCCAUACACUGUUCAUAAAUAUGAAUUACCAUAAAAAGUCUAGCACGUUCUGAGCUGACAACACAGAUUUCAAUCCCAUGGUUAACUGUGUAUUGAUUCUAAUGCCACAAAAUAUGGUGAAUCAACGACAGACAAAUUAGGAAGGGCCACUUUCAGAUUCAACGGUAGAGGUCAGAACUUGCACCCAGAACAGACAAAUUAGGAAGGGCCACUUUCAGAUUCAACGGUAGAGGUCAGAACUUGCACCCAGACAGUUAUAUUUCAAGACCAAGAAUAACCACUCCACGUUCAAGAGUAUCCCUAUCUAGAUGUCACUUGUUUAUAGAGACAGGAUUGAGCUGGGGUGGCACUAAAACCUGUUGUCAUUUAUCCCCUAUCGUUCUGUAAUUUGGUUUUUAAUUCAGGAACUAGGUAAAGACACAAAAGUCAAGCAGCCAACAACAAUGACGGCAUAAAUUGAGGCGUGAUCGGCCAACAGCUAAAUGCUCAAACAUAACAUAACACUUGCUGCUCUUAACUGAUCAUCACACGACACCAAUAUACAAUUAACUGUUCGCUCAAGUACCUACAAGUUCAAAGUAGGUUGCUUUCUGAUCAUCUCUUAAAUUACCAAAGUCACCUAAAAACCUUCCAAGGGUCAUCUAAUUAGGUACGCCCAAAAUGAACAUGCAUUGGUCUAUUCUUUUACCCGGGAAACAGAUAAUAAUGAAACUCAAAACUUCAAAUUUAUUUCCUUCAAAUCUACAGCAAUAUACAGGAACAUACAUGUUCACUAUAUCAUAAUUUCUUCUUGUUUCAUAAGAUACACAAAUGCAAUAAGGAUCACGUCACGGAAGCUAAAAAACAAGAAAUCUAAUAAAGAAAGCAACCAAGA